UACGUAGGGACCAAGCGUUGUUCGGAUUUACUGGGCGUAAAGGGCGCGUAGGCGGCGUGACAAGUCACUUGUGAAAUCUCCGGGCUUAACCCGGAACGGUCAAGUGAUACUGUCGUGCUAGAGUGCAGAAGGGGCAAUCGGAAUUCUUGGUGUAGCGGUGAAAUGCGUAGAUAUCAAGAGGAACACCUGAGGUGAAGACGGGUUGCUGGGCUGACACUGACGCUGACAGCGCGAAAGCUAGGGGAGCAAACGGG
rnacentral:rRNA from 1 species